rnacentral:lncRNA from 1 species
GCCGUAGAGGGCGAGGCCGAGACAUGGAUGGAAGAUCCAACCAAAGCUGUUGGGGCCCAACCCCAUGCAAGAGCGUGCUAAUAGGUUGUCAACGCACGGUGUGUGCGAUGCAUUGUCAUAAGAUGCCCGAAACCAAGCAAUAGUCAACCUUGCAGCAUGCCGACGCAUGAGGCGCCGUCCCCUUCGGCCGAGGCACACAUUCUUGGAUCUGCCUCGCAUGGGCACACAAGCUCGUAUCUUGCCGACGAUGCAGUUCUUGCACGGACGUAUGCUCUUAUGUUAAGGCUGGAGAUGAUCUCCGAGCUUGGGCGUGUUAUUAGGCAGAUGUUGCACUGCGAGGGCAUGUCAUUCAAUUGUAUUGCCUGAGCUCGUGUCGCGGAAGCUUAUGCGCACUCCCUGUUGCGAGGAGUUUGGAUCCGGUCGAUGAUACAUUUCUUGCAUGGGCUCGUGCUUGUGUUGAGGCUAGAGACGAGCUGCAGUGCUCGGGCGUCCUAUGCACGUAGUUUUGAUCCUUCCGACGAUGCAAAUCUUGCACCCGCGCAUGCUUAUGUUAAGGCUGGAGAGAAGCUCUAAGCUUGGGCGUGUUAUUAGGCAGAUGUUGCACUGAGAGGGCAUGUCAUUCAAUUGUAUUGCCUGACCUCGUGUCGCAGAAGCUUAUGCGCACUCCCUGUUGCAAGGAGUUUGGAUCCGGUCGAUGAUACAUGUCUAGCUUGGGCUUGUGCUUAUGUUGAGGCUGGAGAUGAGCUACAUGCUCGGGCGUCAUAUAGGGCUGAUGAUGUUGCAUUAUGAGGGCAUGUCAUUCAAUUGUAUUGCCUGAUGUGGUGUGACGGAAGCUCUUUGCACGGAGUUUGUAU